rnacentral:misc_RNA from 1 species
AAGGAGCACCACGAGACUUGGCCCCGCCCACAUCGUGUGGGGGUUCGGUGAGUUGAGCGAUUCGUGAAGAUGGCCUGUCUCUGUAGUGGGGGCGGGUCUGGUGCACAACAAACGUGUGUUGGCCGGAGGGAAACCGGUUGAUGCGAAGGAUUGCCAGACACACUGUUGGGUCCUGAGGCAACAGGCCCGCGGGCUCACUCCCUUGUGGGGGUGGGUGCCGGCUCUCGAGCGUUGGUUCGGGGGUUUGUGUUGCUGCCCUGCUUUGGUGGUGGGGUGUGGUGUUUGAUUUGUGGAUAGUGGUUGCGAGCAUCUAGAUGGCGGCUUGCGCGAAUGGGCUCACCCCUCUUUUUGUGGGGGUGGGUGUGUUGGUGUGGGUUGGUCAUCUGUUUGUAUGCAAUUUCUUUUUUUGACUCAUUUUUUGGUUUUGUGU